rnacentral:rRNA from 1 species
CCUACGGGUGGCAGCAGUGAGGAAUAUUGGUCAAUGGACGAGAGUCUGAACCAGCCAAGUAGCGUGAAGGAUGACUGCCCUAUGGGUUGUAAACUUCUUUUAUAUGGGAAUAAAAUGUUCCACGUGUGGGAUUUUGUAUGUACCAUAUGAAUAAGGAUCGGCUAACUCCGUGCCAGCAGCCGCGGUAAUACGGAGGAUCCGAUCGUUAUCCGGAUUUAUUGGGUUUAAAGGGAGCGUAGGUGGAUUGUUAAGUCAGUUGUGAAAGUUUGCGGCUCAACCGUAAAAUUGCAGUUGAAACUGGCAGUCUUGAGUACAGUAGAGGUGGGCGGAAUGCGGGGUGUAGCGGUGAAAUGCUUAGAUAUCACGAAGAACUCCGAUUGCGAAGGCAGUUCACUGGACUGCAACUGACACUGAGGCUCGAAAGUGUGGGUAUCAAACAGGAUUAGAUACCCUUGUAGUC